rnacentral:lncRNA from 1 species
UUUUUUUUUUGAUCGGGAAAAAGGCGAAAUCUUAUUACUCAUGGUACCAGAGGUACCCAAAAACGAGAGGAAACAAAAGUACAAACCGAUACAAGAAAGAGGAGAAGGAGACACCAUGGUCGUCCAUCAGCCGUGAAGCAAGGCUGAAUGGAACCAUCUUCUAAAAUCAGGCAGGACAGUCGGCGUGCCAAACACCUGCAGCCAACCCCAAACUCUCGUCUUGAUCUCGCCGAUCAUUUUAUCUUUAUUCCAGAUGCC